CAGCCGCCGCGGGAAUACGUAGGUGGCAAGCGUUGUCCGGAAUUAUUGGGCGUAAAGGGCUCGCAGGCGGUUUCUUAAGUCUGAUAUGAAAGCCCCCAGCUCAACCGGGGAGGGUCAUUGGAAACUGGGAAACUUGAGUGCAGAAGAGGAGAGUGGAAUUCCACGUGUAGCGGUGAAAUGCGUAGAGAUGUGGAGGAACACCAGUGGCGAAGGCGACUCUCUGGUCUGUAACUGACGCUGAGGAGCGAAAGCGUGGGGAGCGAACGGGAUUAGAUACCCGUGUAGUCCCUGUCUCUUAUAC
rnacentral:rRNA from 1 species